rnacentral:rRNA from 1 species
CCCUUAGAUGUUCUGGGCCGCACGCGCGCUACACUGAUGCAUUCAACGAGUCUAAAACCUGGUCUGAUAGGGCUGGGUAAUCUUUUGAAAGUGCAUCGUGAUUGGGAUAGAUGAUUGCAAUUCUUCAUCUUCAACGAGGAAUUCCUAGUAAGCACAAGUCAUCAGCUUGUGUUGAUUACGUCCCUGCCCUUUGUACACACCGCCCGUCGCUCCUACCGAUUGAAUGUUCCGGUGAGCUCUUCGGACUGCGCGGUCUGCAGUUUCUGCGUUCCGUGCGGAAAGUUGCGCAAACCUUAACAUUUAGAGGAAGGAGAAGUCGUAACA